rnacentral:rRNA from 1 species
AUUGAACGCUGGCGGCAUGCCUUACACAUGCAAGUCGAACGGCAGCACGGGUGCUUGCCCCUGGUGGCGAGUGGCGAACGGGUGAGUAAUACAUCGGAACAUGUCCUGUAGUGGGGGAUAGCCCGGCGAAAGCCGGAUUAAUACCGCAUACGAGCUACGGGUGAAACCGGGGGACCUUCGGGCUUCGCGCUAUAGGGUCGGCCGAUUGCUGAUUAGCUAGUUGGUGGGGUAAAGGCCUACCAAGGCGACGAUCAGUAGCUGGUUUGAGAGGACGACCAGCCACACUGGGACUGAAACACGGCCCAGACUCCUACGGGAGGCAGCAGUGGGGAAUUUUGGACAAUGGGCGAAAGCCUGAUCCAGCAAUGCCGCGUGUGUGAAGAAGGCCUUCGGGUUGUACAGCACUUUUGUCCGGAAAGAAAUCCUUGGCCCUAAUACGGUCGGGGGAUGACGGUACCGGAAGAAUAAGCACCGGCUAACUACGUG